AACGCUGGCGGCGCGCUUAACACAUGCAAGUCGAGCGAGAUCCAGGCCUUCGGGCCUGGGGACAGCGGCGAACGGGUGAGUAACACGUGGGUAAUCAACCCUCGACACUGGGAUAGCCCGGGGAAACCCGGCUUAAUACCGGAUGGCCCUUUGGAUCCUCGGUUCUGAAGGAAAAGGUAGCCUCGGCCUCCGGUCGAGGACGAGCCCGCGGCGGAUUAGCUUGUUGGUGAGGUAACGGCUCACCAAGGCGACGAUCCGUAGCUGGUCUGAGAGGACGAUCAGCCACACUGGGACUGAGACACGGCCCAGACUCCUACGGGAGGCAGCAGUGGGGAAUCUUGCGCUAAUGCGGGAAACCGUGACGCAGCGACGCCGCGUGAGGGAAGAAGGCCUUCGGGUUGUAAACCUCUUUCAGGAGGGACGAAGCCACUCGGGUGAAUAGCCCAGAGGGUGACGGUACCUCCAGUAGAAGCCCCGGCUAACUACGUGCCAGCCGCCGCGGUAAAAC
rnacentral:rRNA from 1 species